rnacentral:rRNA from 1 species
GCAAGCGUUAUCCGGAUUCACUGGGUUUAAAGGGUGCGUAGGAGGGCAGGUAAGUCAGUGGUGAAAUCUCCAAGCUUAACUUGGAAACUGCCGUUGAUACUAUCUGUCUUGAAUAUUGUGGAGGUGAGCGGAAUAUGUCAUGUAGCGGUGAAAUGCUUAGAUAUGACAUAGAACACCAAUUGCGAAGGCAGCUCACUACACAAUCAUUGACUCUGAGGCACGAAAGCGUGGGGAUCAAACAGG